AGCUCUGAGGUGUUAACAUGUAAGAUUGCAAAUCUUAAGUAGCAGAUUGACGUCUGCCGGGGCUU
rnacentral:tRNA from 1 species